GACGAACGCUGGCGGCGCGCCUAACACAUGCAAGUCGAACGGGGCUUAUAUUUCAGAAGUUUUCGGAUGGACGAGAGAUAAGCUUAGUGGCGGACGGGUGAGUAACACGUGAGCAACCUGCCUUUCAGAGGGGGAUAACAGUUGGAAACGACUGCUAAUACCGCAUAACGCUGCGAUGGGGCAUCCCGAUGCAGCCAAAGGAGCAAUCCGCUGAAAGAUGGGCUCGCGGCCGAUUAGCUAGUUGGUGGGGCAACGGCCCACCAAGGCGACGAUCGGUAGCCGGACUGAGAGGUUGAUCGGCCACAUUGGGACUGAGACACGGCCCAGACUCCUACGGGAGGCAGCAGUGGGGGAUAUUGCACAAUGGAGGAAACUCUGAUGCAGCGACGCCGCGUGAGGGAAGACGGUCUUCGGAUUGUAAACCUCUGUCUUUGGGGAAGAAAAUGACG
rnacentral:rRNA from 1 species